UCGAACGAAGCACCUGAGAAUGAUUCUUCGGAUGAAGUCUCUUGUGACUGAGUGGCGGACGGGUGAGUAACGCGUGGGUAACCUGCCUCACACAGGGGGAUAACAGUUGGAAACGACCGCUAAUACCGCAUAACCCGCUGGUGCCGCAUGGCACUGACGGAAAAGAUUUAUCGGUGUGAGAUGGACCCGCGUCUGAUUAGCCAGUUGGCAGGGUAACGGCCUACCAAAGCGACGAUCAGUAGCCGGCCUGAGAGGGUGAACGGCCACAUUGGGACUGAGACACGGCCCAGACUCCUGCGGGAGGCAGCAGUGGGGAAUAUUGCACAAUGGGGGAAACCCUGAUGCAGCGACGCCGCGUGAGUGAAGAAGUAUUUCGGCAUGUAAAGCUCCUAUCCGCAGGGAAGAAAACGACGGUACCUGAUUAACAAGCCCCGGCUA
rnacentral:rRNA from 1 species